UUGAUGAAUAUUAAUUAUUUAUUAUUAUAUUUAUCAAAUAUUUAAGAUUCAGGUAAUUAAUAGUAUGAUUAGGGAAACAUUUCAAGGAAUCAAACAACUCCCAAAAUAACCCCAACACUGGUCAGAUUCAAAAUUUGAACUUGCAGACAUUACAAGAAAAGAUGUCUUAUUUAUCUUGACUAAAAUAUGAAUUUUACCUUGGAUGUAGAGUUGUGGACUAAAAAGAGCCAAAGUAUUCUAUUAACAUUAAAAAGUGCAGAUGUAUUCUUCUGAUGACAUGACUAUUGGAUUUGUAAAGAUUGAUGUUUUCAUAUAUUUUGGAUUGAAUCUUCUGAACUAGUGAAACAAAGGAAAAUUGUUUUCUGAUGGGACUGAAGAAUGGACACAUUCAAUCAGACUUGGAUUUAUGUUACUGCUUCACUGGUGCACAAAACACAACAGAUCCAUGCAAGAAGGUCAUAUCAAUGAUGCUGUUACAGAGCAAAUCAGUUAUGCACGAAAGAAAUUCAGGAACUUGUGAUAAUAAAUUUAUAUUCAAAGAACACUGAAAACACCUCCAAAAUAU